rnacentral:rRNA from 1 species
UACGUAGGGUGCGAGCGUUUAAUCGGAAUUACUGGGCGUAAAGUGUGCGCAGGCGGCCGCGCAAGUCGAGUGUGAAAGCCCCGGGCUUAACUUGGGAAUUGCGCUCGAAACUACGUGGCUGGAGUGUGGCAGAGGAAGGUGGAAUUCCAGGUGUAGUGGUGAAAUGCGUAGAGAUCUGGAAGGAACACCGAUGGCGAAGGCAGCCUUCUGGGCCAACAA